UGAGGACUGAGGAAGAGAACACAAUCGAAAUGCUGGUCACAACACACCAAAUUGAUUUCACAAUUCACUAUUCUACUGGCUGGGAAGUCCAAGAGCAAGGCACUGGGAGAUUCGGUGUCUCCUGGGGGCCUGCUUUGU